UACAGAGGGUGCGAGCGUUAAUCGGAAUUACUGGGCGUAAAGCGCGCGUAGGCGGCUUUGCAAGUCGGGUGUGAAAUCCCCAAGCUCAACUUGGGAACUGCAUUCGAGACUGCAUUGCUAGAGUAUGGGAGAGGGCAGUGGAAUUUCAGGUGUAGCGGUGAAAUGCGUAGAUAUCUGAAGGAACAUCAGUGGCGAAAGCGACUGCCUGGACCAUUACUGACGCUGAGGUGCGAAAGCGUGGGGAGCAAACAGG
rnacentral:rRNA from 1 species